rnacentral:rRNA from 1 species
AUUGAACGCUGGCGGCAGGCCUAACACAUGCAAGUCGAGCGGAUGAAGGGAGCUUGCUCCUGGAUUCAGCGGCGGACGGGUGAGUAAUGCCUAGGAAUCUGCCUGGUAGUGGGGGAUAACGUCCGGAAACGGGCGCUAAUACCGCAUACGUCCUGAGGGAGAAAGUGGGGGAUCUUCGGACCUCACGCUAUCAGAUGAGCCUAGGACGGAUUAGCUAGUUGGUGGGGUAAAGGCCUACCAAGGCGACGAUCCGUAACUGGUCUGAGAGGAUGAUCAGUCACACUUGAACUGGGACACGGUCCAUACUCCUACGGGAGGCAGCAGCUGGGAAUAUUGGACAAUGCGCGAAAGCCUGAUCCAGCCAUGCCGCGUGUGUGAAUAAGGUCUUCGGAUUGUAAAGCACUUUAAGUUGGGAUGAAGGGCAGUAAUUUAAUACCUUGCUGUUUUGACGUUACCAACAGAAUAAGCACCGGCUAACUUCGUG